CAGCAGCCACGGUAAUACGUAGGGGGCAAGCGUUGUCCGGAAUUAUUGGGCGUAAAGCGCGCGCAGGCGGUUUUUUAAGUCUGGUGUCUAAGUGCGGGGCUCAACCCCGUGACGCACUGGAAACUGGGAGACUUGAGUGCAGAAGAGGAGAGCGGAAUUCCACGUGUAGCGGUGAAAUGCGUAGAGAUGUGGAGGAACACCAGUGGCGAAGGCGGCUCUCUGGACUGUAACUGACGCUGAGGCGCGAAAGCGUGGGGAGCAAACAGGAUUAGAUACCCCCGUAGUCCCUGUCUCUUAUACC
rnacentral:rRNA from 1 species